UCUCCACACCUGCUGUCGCCCUUUCCUUAUCGGUAGCCAGAUACUGGAUCCCAGGGAGGACCUGAGGCUCCCGGGGAGACAGACCCAAAACGUGGGAGAAACCUGGACCCCUGAGUAGAGUCCCACUCCAUCUGCAUUAGUUGGUGACGGAGGCAAGAAGGUCCAUGGAGCCCUGCUGGCUUCUCUGGCUCACCUGAUAAUCUGUCCUGAUGAUGAAAAGAGCCUGGAGAUCAGCAUAGACUCACCCUGAGAGGCGCUGAGGGCUGUGCCAACCCUCAUGUUGUUACUUAUCCAUCCCUGUCACUAAAGGAAGGAAGGAAGCUGCUCCGUGAAAGAUGAUAAGCCAUUAGCACAACUGUGGAGGCUAAAACGGCUGGCCCAGCAGCCAGAGAACACAUCAGAAAUAAUGGAAUCAAUAUGCAAACCAAUAAAAAGGAAAACCUGCAGAAUGUAGGGACAGAGAGAAAGGAAAACGCGGUGUUGUCUAGACAUGCUUAUGAAUGUGAGCUUUGUUAACCGAAAGUAGAGAGAUGUUUUGCCUGCUGUUUUAUACCACAUGGCAUAAAGUAUAAAAGGGUAGCCACUUUAAAAUAAACAAGACUACAUUCAGGAUUGGCAUGUUGGGGGAAUAAAAGGAGGAUGGCAGAACGGGAAUGAAUGGUUUAACCUUGACUUCAUUCCCGUCUGCAUGGGUAUUUUUCUCUAGGCCAAAGCAAAUUUCUUACUUCUAGGCUGAUGUCACGCAAAUGAACAAAUAUGAAUUAUUUUAUCUUAUGAUCUUUCUUCCAUGGAGGUUCUGGGCUGCUCUACUUCUCACGGCUUGAGGGAGGUAUGUCGACAUUGCCAGGCCACAGGGGUGGACAUCCAAAAAGCUGACAGCUCUGGGCAUCAGAUUCUCUCAGAGUGCAUUAAGGAUUUGUUCAGUGGGGUCCGUUGUACCCUUUUGCUCCUGGCAAACCCCCACCUCACAGGUGUGAUGGGUGAUGGGAAAUGAGCCCUAGGUCUGGCCCAGACCUUCCUGGCACAGGCUGCAGGAAGGUUAGGGAGUUUGAGUUUGGUUCGGCCACUGGCUCCCAAGAAGAGUUCUGGCUUGUCCAGAGAUUGACAUCAACAGCAC